AGAAACCAGUGGAAGACAGCACAUGGUAUGUUUCUUAUUAAUAACACUGAGCAGUUAGGAAGCAGAUGUGCCUCUCCAGGGAAACUCACAAGUGUCCACUGACCUAGUAUCUGCGGAGAACCAUAGCAGUUGUGGUCUCUCUCCCCAGCUUCAAGCAAGGGCAACUUUUCCCUGUGUCUGGUUCUUUUGCUGUCACCUGAAGCCACAGAAAAUGAUCUGAACCUGCUCAGUCCCUGGACAUAUCUGGGGAAUACAAAGUCUCAGAGUCGCUCUCUAAGAAUUGCCAGCAUGUUCUAGAGAUUCUUUAGAUGCAUAGCUGCAUGGAGCAAAACAGGGUCAGGGGAUGUGUGCCGAGGCCAAGGUCUUCUCUUAUGUUUCAAAAAUAUUAACAUUUCAGGCCUGUCUUCUUUUAAAGGAUAGCUCAUGUAUAUGAUUUUUUAAAAAAAAAUCUACCAAAUCAAAUAAAGAAGUCCUGGGAGUUCACCCGGUGUUUUCUACAGAACCAAGGUAUUCAUAUUGAGAUCCUUCAAUAUAAUCAGCUAUGUGACCUUGGUUAAGUUAAUUAAUGCCUCUGAAACUGAGGUUCCUCAUCUGUGAAAUGGAGAUAUUCAACAAAGCACCCUGUGGGGAUUAGAUGAGAUUGCACAUCUGACUGCCUAGAGUAUAGUAAGGGGUCACUGUUUCCUCUUCACUCCUCAGGAAAAUUUGAUUGAACAAGGAUAGAAACUUUGAUUCUAGGGACAGAAGGUCUUCAGAAGUCUUUGAGGCCAGAGGGCCUGUCAUAGAACUGCAGUGUAGGUUCAUUAAAACGCUGUCAUCCUAAUGUUUAUCCACAGUAUCUAAUAGAUUUAAAAGGAAGACAAUAUGGCACAGACUAUUUCGGAAACCUAUGCCCAUUCUGCCAAGAGGAUAUCGCUAUUGGUGGUCAGACUAUUUCACUUAUAAGGUUUCUUUUUUCCUUAAGUCAUAAAGAUUAACAUUUACUAAAAAUUUGAGGGUCCAUUAAUGGACUCCCACAUGGCUUUCCUCUUUCCUUUGAGCUGGAUUCAUUUUCACUGAGUCCCGAGUCCUGCACAUCUGACAAUUGCUUCAGACCUUGGACAUGCUUGAAUUAUUUUAUGCAAAUCAUUUGAAAAGGCAAAGUACCACUGUUCUUUCUUGAGUUUCUUCGUAAACUGGUUUCUAAUUUAUCUGCUGCUUUUUCUCGAUCCAAUUUGUGCCUAUGUCUUACUAUAGAUUCUUUGGAAAUAAAGAAAUAAAGAAUAUAUCUGUAGCUAUUUUGUUAAACUAAGAAUGUUUUAAAAUAUUUUAUUGUAAAA
rnacentral:lncRNA from 1 species